rnacentral:rRNA from 1 species
UACGUAGGGUGCGAGCGUUGUCCGGAAUUACUGGGCGUAAAGAGCUCGUAGGUGGUUUGUCGCGUUGUUCGUGAAAACUCACAGCUUAACUGUGGGCGUGCGGGCGAUACGGGCAGACUGGAGUACUGCAGGGGAGACUGGAAUUCCUGGUGUAGCGGUGGAAUGCGCAGAUAUCAGGAGGAACACCGGUGGCGAAGGCGGGUCUCUGGGCAGUAACUGACGCUGAGGCGCGAAAGCCAGGGGAGCGAACGGG